GAACUGCGAUAAGUAAUGUGAAUUGCAGAAUUCAGUGAAUCAUCGAGUCUUUGAACGCACAUUGCGCCCCCUGGCAUUCCGGGGGGCAUGCCUGUCCGAGCGUCAUUGCUGCCCUUCAAGCCCGGCUUGUGUGUUGGGUCGUCGUCCCCUCCGGGGGACGGGCCCGAAAGGCAGCGGCGGCACCGCGUCCGGUCCUCGAGCGUAUGGGGCUUUGUCACCCGCUCGAUAAGGACCGGCCGGGCGCUAGCCGGCGUCUCCAACCUUUUUUUCUCAGGUUGACCUCGGAUCAGGUAGGGAUACCCGCUGAACUUAAGC
rnacentral:misc_RNA from 1 species